GAUGAACGCUGGCGGCGUGCCUAAUACAUGCAAGUCGAGCGAACAGACGAGGAGCUUGCUCCUCUGACGUUAGCGGCGGACGGGUGAGUAACACGUGGAUAACCUACCUAUAAGACUGGGAUAACUUCGGGAAACCGGAGCUAAUACCGGAUAAUAUAUUGAACCGCAUGGUUCAAUAGUGAAAGACGGUUUUGCUGUCACUUAUAGAUGGAUCCGCGCCGCAUUAGCUAGUUGGUAAGGUAACGGCUUACCAAGGCAACGAUGCGUAGCCGACCUGAGAGGGUGAUCGGCCAAGUUGGAACUGAGACACGGUCCAGACCCCUACGGGAGGCAGAAGUAGGGAAGCUUCCGCAAUGGGCGAAAGCCUGACGAAGCAACGCCGCGUGAGUGAUGAAGGUCUUCGGAUCGGAAAACUAUGUUAUGAGGGAAGAACAAAUGUGUAAGUAACUAUGCACGUCUUGACGGUACCUAAUCAGAAAGCCACGGCUAACUACGG
rnacentral:rRNA from 1 species